GUGGAUAUCAAGCGCCUGACCCUGGAAACUGC
rnacentral:scRNA from 1 species